rnacentral:misc_RNA from 1 species
AAAAACUAAUCCAAAUGAUGAAAAUGGUGUGGCAUCUGAAAGUACAAAUGAGGAAAAACAGACGAAGGAAUAGUUUAUUAUUUUAGUGCCUGAGAGCAGAGGUGAAUUGCUCCUCUCAUGAUAGCAUCCCUAACAGUCUAUUGGCUGUUAAAUCUAUCCUAGCUGGUGAAUGCUGUUCAGCUCCUUCAAGUCUUCACACAGGUGGCUGAGGAUAAGUGGAGGUGACUUGAGGUAUGAGGUAGUAGCUUCGCUGCAUCACUUGGUAAGGCAAAGAAAUAAGUAGUUUGGAUGCGUUUUUCGUAUGUCUAGUUCUGAAGUUGCGGUCAUCAUCAAGAAGGAAAGGCUAGUAUCUAAAGAGGAAACCUGGAAAGCAAAUUUCCUUGCCAUACGGCAUCUCGGAAGGCAGCCCAAAAACUAGGAAGAAUAGGAAAAGCUUUGAUAGAGAGAGGGAAGGCUAUGGCAUAGAGAGGAAAUUAAUGAGUGUUUGACAUGACAAAAUUUGUUAUCAAUGAGACUUUUAAUACUACGUAUGAGCUGGCAAACAAG